rnacentral:tRNA from 1 species
GGGCCGUUAGCUCAGUUGGUUAGAGCAGAGGACUCAUAAUCCUUUGGUCCGGGGUUCAAGUCCCUGACGGCCCACCA